rnacentral:rRNA from 1 species
AGUGAACGCUGGCGGUAGGCCUAACACAUGCAAGUCGAACUGCAGCACAGUAAGAGCUUGCUCUUACGGGUGGCGAGUUGCGGACGGGUGAGGAAUACAUCGGAAUCUACUUUUUCGUGGGGGAUAACGUAGGGAAACUUACGCUAAUACCGCAUACGACCUACGGGUGAAAGCAGGGGAUCUUCGGACCUUGCGCGAUUGAAUGAGCCGAUGUCGGAUUAGCUAGUUGGCGGGGUAAAGGCCCACCAAGGCGACGAUCCGUAGCUGGUCUGAGAGGAUGAUCAGCCACACUGGAACUGAGACACGGUCCAGACUCCUACGGGAGGCAGCAGUGGGGAAUAUUGGACAAAGGGCGCAAGCCUGAUCCAGCCAUACCGCGUGGGUGAAGAAGGCCUUCGGGUUGUAAAGCCCUUUUGUUGGGAAAGAAAAGCAGCAGGUUAAUACCCCGCUGUUCUGACGGUACCCAAAGAAUAAGCACCGGCUAACUUCGUG